UAUGUAUUUAUAUUAAUGUCUACACCAUUUGCAAUAAAUUACGCAAUUAAGAAUGGCUUUCAGCUGUAUCUUGGGAAGUAUUAGUCGUCUGGCCUAGAGACACAAAAUUCUACCUAAAGAAAUCGCUCGAUUUUUUUUAAGUUCCUAAAGUAGCGCAACUUCUAUGGUUAAUAAGAAAAUGAGAAUUAAACUAUUUUUUAUAUGGCACUAAGAUUUUUCCUGUAAUUUAUCAUUUCCCCUGGAAAUAUUUUUUUGCCUCAGGCCCUAUGGCUAAUUCUUGAUAUACAACAGGGCAACUCCAUUCAUAUUGGAAUGCCCGUUAUUUUUUUUUUUAACUUUAGAACUAAUUUAUUUAACUCAAUUACUCAGUUAUAUUAUAAUUUAUCGAUUUGAAUGUGUAUCUGCUGCCACUAGCGCAGCACAAUAUUGCACUACUUUUAAUUCAUAUAUAAGGUAAUGAAGAUCAACCAGGAUUUAAUUAUGAGAAAUAUUUUUUUAAGAGAGUUGCAAAGUUCUAUUUUUUUUGAAAAAAAGUUCCACAUAUGCUUCGACAAGUGUAUAAUGUACAGGGUGUAUCACGGUCGAUGGUAAGUUCGACGUUUACGGAAAACGGAACGUUGGAUUUUAAAAAUUUGGUAUCUUUAUCUGUUAGUAUUUUUUGAUCUGGAAUAACUUUCCGGAGUAUUUUUUUAUAAUAUAGGAUAAUAUAAUUUUUGUGGUAUAGGAUAAUACUAUACCUAGCUCUAACGGUUUUUGAGUUAAUAAUUUUUAAGUUUAAUGAUUGUUUUUUGUUCAAAACAUAUCUCUACUUAAAUAUUUUUUAAACUUUCUCUGCAUUCGUAAAAACUAAAAUUCUGAGUGUGGUAUCUCAAGAUCUUAUAUAUUGACAUAUUGUACAGGUUGUUCCAUUUUGGCUACUUUUGCAGGAUAUCUACGUUUUUUAGAGAUAGAGAGUUGCGGUUUUCGCGACACUGUGCUACUUUUUCAUAAAACUAAAGAUGCUGUUAACAAAAUUUUCAUAGCUAACCCUAAAUACAACUAAUCAACUUACAAAAAAGUACAAAAACUAUGAGAAUGAUUAGCGUAUUCACAUUUUUGUAAUACUGCUCCCCUCUCAAGUUUGAUCGUUCGAUGUUAACACAACAGCCGGACGAUGUUAACACUCUUCGUCUGGUACACCACGUCGUUGAUUUUGGUGACCCUUGAGAUUGACCUUCCCAAUCCUUCUAGAGCUUUGAUGACUUGUCGUUCGUCCUCCAUUGAUUGUAUAAACACACACUGCCCCCGGCAUUAAAAUGAGUAGAGUUCUCCUUCAUGUCAUAACGUGAUUUUAUUUUGUUACUCUCUAGGUGAAGUUUAUCCUGUGCUUGUUCGUGAACAAUUUGCAAACGCUCUUGUAGAUAGUAGAUGUUCUCUCAAAAGUUUUAGCCUUGUCUCCCAGUCAUAAUGUCUAAAGGUAAUUGAACAAUAUCAUCACCGAAUAAAAGUUUUGCCUGACUUUUUUCAGUAGACUUGUGGAUACAAGAACGAUACGCCAAUAGAAAUGGUUGUAUAUAGGUAUCCCAGAUGCUUUGCUUAGAGUUUACCACAAUUCUCAAAUACAGCUACACAAAUCUCAGAUUUCCAGCAACAUACGUGUAAUACUUGUUGGAAUACUUGACACCCGUCCAAUUGGAAAUACAUGGUCCGUCUUACUUCCAAUGACAAAUCUUCCAUUAAAAUAGGCAAGGAAUUUGUUAAAAAAUGCAAAAAAACAUUACUGGUUAAUGUGCCAUCAAAAAAAUAAGAACCAAUAAUUUUCAUUCCGAUAAUCAUUCCGGCCGAGCGCUAGAUGGCGGUACAUAAGUUUGGACUCGGUGCGUAAAAGACUUUAAUUCGCUAUAACUUUAAAACAAGCAAAGAUAUCAUCGUGCGGUUUUCACAGUAUUUUUGCAAAUUUUAUCUACUUUUUAAAUAUGAUGUCAAAAAUAUACCAUUCAAUUUGAAUUUUUGGAGCAAAAUGAAAAAAACUGGAAUUAUUACAAAUUGCACCCUCUGGCGGUUUUAUUGGGAACUAUAGGGUAGUGAUGAGAUCAGACUUUUAAAGCAGCUACAUUUAUCUUGCGAAUAAAUUUUAAAUUGCUCAAAUCGAAUAAGUGGUUUAGAAUUUACACCGAUUUUAAUGAUUCCACUUUCAAUAGCUUCCCCCACCCCUACUAUCGUUCGUACGUCAAUAAUUCAUAAGCCAAAAUUAUAGCAAAUUAUCUAGGCUUACUAAAAAUAAUAUCAAAAGUAUAAGUUAAUGUUUAAGUUUUCGGAGAAAAAGACGUUUCUUUUAUUUAAGUUUUAGUUGCGCCCUCUUGCAGUGAAAUACGGAACUUAAAAAUAAUUUCCAGAUUUUUCUCAUGGCCACUUUUAUAAUAAUAAAAAAAAAUCCAUUGCUGCCAGAUGUACAGAUCCUGAGAUACAGCCGCUUACCUCGCUUAUUUGGCCACCCUGUACAUAUGUUCUAUGUCGAAAAACGCCUUAGACAAGGAAAAUGGUUGGAUCGGUAAUGCCUAUAUUUACAAUGUUAACGAAGUGAGCCGAAUUUUUCUCGCAUUAUGGUGACACGCUUACUUGUUUUUGAGUGUAUUUUAAGAGAUUCUUGGUUUUUUUUAAGUCAAAUUUUUGGUUAAAUCUAUACUUUUUGGAUAUUACAUCAAACUGGGAUGUUCAGUGUUUUGAUUUAAAUUUCGUAGGAAAAAUAAUUGCCAGAUAACAUUUUUGCAGAUUUGGUGGCAAGCAGCUCGUUUCAGGUGCGUGAUUACAGGUCCACUCAUUUUCCUUGUCUAAGAAAAAUGCUUAGUUUUUGAAAAACAGGGUGUCAAAGUAAAAGUUUAUUUUUAAUUAUUUUUGAAUAGAAUUUAUUGUUUUAAAAUAUUUACGUUUAUAUAAUGGGUAAGUUGUCUGACUGACCACGAACAAAUCCCUGCUCCAUUGUAAUUAGUCAACGAGCAAAAUACGUCAAUAAUAAAAGUUAAACGUCAAAAUGUCAACAAACAAAAUCACCCUGUCAAAAUAACGCCUGGGCACUAGGCUGUGGCUGACUGGCUAGCGAGCGGUCUAUAAUACACCGUCGCGUUGCGUCGGCGUUUAUGACGUAGCGCGUAAUUGGGACGGAAUCUCGGGAGGUAUAAAAAACCCCAGACUAGCAGCCUUAUAACUUAUGCUUAUGCAAAUACUUACCCUAAAAACUUGAAAUAAACGUCAUUGUUCUUAUAAACUUAUGUUGUAUUUAUUUUUGGGAAAAUAUAUAUAUAUUUUUUUUAAUUUUCCAAGCCCAUUCCAACAUUGCUUGCAUCUGUAUCAUUCACCUGAAAAGUUUCGCAUAGUUUAAAAUUGGAGGUGUGCUCUUUCUCACUUUUCGCUUUUCUGCUAACUAAAUAACAUUUUGUACUCCGUGGCUUAUGUAGAGGUUUAAUAAGGUUAGCAGACUUUCUUACAAAUCCUCUAAAAUAUCUACUAUGAUCCAGAAAACUUCUUCACUGGUCUUUUUCAGUUGGUCGUGGCCAAUUUUCUUUUAUUUGCCGAGGUAUUCUUUUUGAAAUAAACAACAUUUUUUGAUCAUAUCCUUUCAAAUUUACCAUUCAAACCAAAACAGUAAUUUUCGGUUACAAUCAGGUUUUUCUGGUUACUGAUAGAUUAGUUUUUCUGAUAGAAUUACGGCAGAGAACCCACAUAUAUUUAGAGAAUCGCAUACCCAGUACCUCCAGAAAAUUAAUAAUUAAUGUUUGGGCUGGUAUAUUAAGGAGAUAGCAAACAUGCAUGCUGAAAUGUUACAUAGGUCCAUCGAACCACUAAUAGUGCGGGAAUCAGAAAUUCAGAGGGACAUACACGAAAAUAAGAAGAACGCUUCUUAGUACAAUUCCAUCAGGAUGGAGGACAUUCUCAUUAUGUAGUUUCCGUUUGGUAAUGGUCGUAUGAUCAUUAUCCUACCCAGUAAAUUGAAAGAAGGGGUCUUAUUUAAUGGUCACCUAAAUGCCCAGACUUCUUUUUGUGGGGUCUAGGGUCACCUAAUAAAACCUGUGGUUUCUAAAACGCAACCUGAGUCACUAGACGAACCCUCAGCAUAGAAUAAUUCAGAAAUACCGUCAAGAAUUUGAAAGUAUACUUCAUACAACACAAAAAGCAUUGCACGUCAUCGUCUGUCUCGUGGCUUACUUGAGAGCGCAGUUGCCGGAUUGUAAUAAAUGUAGGUAUCUAAAUGUUAUGAUAAAUAGGAAAUUAUAAGUAUUAAUAAUUAUUAUUGACGUUAUAAUUUUGUUUUAUUUGAUUUUCUGAUUAUCUGUUUUAUUAGCCUAAAUUCAUCUGAUCUCACCUACUACCUGAUCAUCAAGUAAAACACUUAUAAAAUAUUGUUUAUAAUUAAUAAGUUUUAAAUUAUUAAAGUAUAAUAAAUAUUAAUACCCGCCUUAGUUUAAAGAAUAAAUGCUUAAUAAUUUUGCCUAAAUUUUAAGCUUUUUUUUUUCACUUUUUUUUUAGGGCAAAGAAACUAAAAUAAUAUACCGGGUGGUGCGUCGCCGAGCGGAACAUAGAAAAUCCCAUGUAAAUUUCAAGGGGAUUAAUUAUUGGCUUCCCUGUACAUUUUACAGAAAAAAUGUAAGAUAACUUUCUGAAGAGACCAAUCUGGCAAACCCUCGUGCAAAGUUUCAAAAAAUUGUAAUAAGCGAAUCUUGAAUUAUUAAAUUAAAUGUAAUUGCAAAGUUACCAAAUUUUCGGUUCAGGUAAAACCAGCCACCAGCAAACAAUUUGUAUAAUAUAAGGCUUUGUCAAAUCUGAUAUACAGCCGAAUACAAGAAAUGUUUUUUUUUCGUUUUAUCAAUCUCACAACCAUACAUUCAAAGUAAGAAGUUAACAUUACUUUUUUAUCUAAACUUUUAUUUUAAUAUAACGAUGAAGUUAAAUCAAUAACAAUUAUUAUUAUCGAUUAUUAAAAAAUAAUUUUAUCAUACUUAGAAUUUAUUUAAAUUAAUAGCAGUAUCUGAAAUAUUUUCAAUUUAUUUUCCCAUCAAGCCUAUCUGGUCCAUUUUAACCAUUAAACCCAUUGUUAGUAAAUUCGAGUCCAAAGACAUUCGAGUGCAAUAAAUAAUUGUAAAUGUUUAACCAAAGUUUACAGAAUAGAAUACAAGUUGGGUCACUCCGGUCGGCCGUCAAAAUCCACCCCGCAGUUUCCCGUCUGGCCGGUGCACCAGGUCUGGUGCACAUUUAUUUAUCGAUGUAUACCGAGCGCGCCAAGCUCAUUUCAGUUUUACUCACAUUUCGGUGUAUAGGGUGGAGUUCAAAAAAAUAGUUGUGGAUUUUAUUGAUUAUGUGGAGAAUAAAAUGUCUAAUCGAAAUAUUUGUUCAGUGGAUGGUUGUGAAAGUCGAACUACAGAUUAGAUAUCGUUUUUUAGGUGCCCUAAAGAUGAAGGAAGGGUCAAGCUUGGAAAAAUGCCCUAGGAUUUAUAGGAUCCCAUAGAUACGCGGAUAAUACUCCAACGCAAUGUUAUAACCGUAUUAGAAUUUGUAGUUUGCAUUUUAAUGAUGACAGUUUUACAAAUUCCUCGAAAACCCGAAUGCAUCAUUCGUAUGCUAUCUCAUCGAUUGGAGUACCUACCCAAAAAGACGAUGCACAUUUUCCUAAAGCCAGUGUUGAUGCCAUUGUUCAGAAAGAACAGUUCAAAGUAAAUGAGCCAAAGCAGCCGUUACUAAAAGUUGCAGGAAUCCAAACGUCGAUAACUCGAAUAUUAUUGCUGAAUAAGGACUCAAAAGGACGCAGGUAUACCAAUGAAUUUAAACAGUUUGCUCUAAGUGUGUUUUUCCUGGGUACAAAAGCUUACAAAAAAAUGUCCACAGUUUAUCCUCUACCAUCAAGAUCUACAUUAAACCGUUUUACGCAACAAUGGGUAAUAAAUCCAGGUUUUAACGAGUUUGUUUUUAAAGUAAUUGAAUGUAGAGUAAAAAUACAUCUGCACCUGUUAUUCAUUUAAAAGAUAUUUUAUUUAAAACUGUCCGAAGGAUACGCAAAACCGGUUUAAAUAUUUUUGGGGUUGUAUCAGACCAGGGUACUAAUUUUCAAAAACUAGCUAAAAGUUCUUAAAAGGUUUUUGCGUUAGGAUAUUUAGAUAAUGUCGAAACAGCUAAUAGUAUAGAUGAUGGCGCUAAAGCCCUAUUAAAUGUAAAUCCCGAUUUUAUUAAUAGUUGCAAUAAUAUAUAAUUGCAUUCUCCCACUAAAUAUAUUCCUCUUCGAGUUUUUACCAACGAAUAUGUACAUUUAAAAAGCGCAGAAGGAAAUGCUUUAGUAUAUGUAGCAUAUUUAUUUAAAAAAUGUCUCUCACGUCACUCUUGUGAUAUAUGCAAUAAUUUUGCAACUUCCCAAAAUGCCCUGUUUAAUGAAGAGUUAUUUUAUUGUAAAUUAAAAGCAUAUGAAAAUAAUACCCUAUUUAGUGGUCUAACCAUACCUCCAAAAGACAUUAUUGAGUACAUAAUAAAAUUAGAAAGUAUUUUUAUCGCUGAAUUUAAUAAAUUAUCAGCGCAAGAAGCAAUUGGCUAUAAUCUUAAAAAACUGUUUUCUAACAUGACCUUUAAGCAUUCCUGUAAUUAAUUUCCCAUUGACUAUUUUUUAAGUUUAUA